rnacentral:rRNA from 1 species
GACAGAGGGUGCAAACGUUGUUCGGAAUUAUUGGGCGUAAAGCGCGUGUAGGCGGCUUUGCAAGUCGGGUGUGAAAGCCCUCAGCUUAACUGAGGAAGUGCGCCCGAAACUGCAGAGCUUGAGUACCGGAGAGGAUGGUGGAAUUCCCCAAGUAGAGGUGAAAUUCGUAGAUAUGGGGAGGAACACCGGUGGCGAAGGCGACCAUCUGGACGGAUACUGACGCUGAGACGCGAAAGCGUGGGUAGCAAACAGG